CCACACGUACCUACGGGGGAAGAAUGGCCAGCCACACAGGAUGGUGAUUUUUACUAAGGAGGAGAAGGAGGCCGUGCUGACCGAGAUGCAUGCUGGCCACUUCGGAGGGAAGCCAUGGUGACCAAAAUCAGCCUACGCUUCUUCUCAUGGGGAAUUGUCAAGGGGGUGGACAGCUGGGCAAGUGAAAUAAGCUUUUGUUUAUCAAUCUCAUUAUUUAUCAAUCUCUGUCAUAUAUGAAAUUAUUAUGAUUUCAAUGAAUGUCAUAUCAGAGAGCAUGCAAUCUCUCAAUUUGUCACUUUUUGCUUAAAGGUCAGUACCCUGUCUAACCUGCUAGAAGUUUGAAAGUGUGAAGACUGUGUCCCCGGAGUUGAAGCCCAUCAAAGUUGUUUCACCAUGGCAUAUGAUUGGUGUAGUGUCCCAAUUCAAAUUUUGCCCUGAUAAGUUGUUUUGUAAUGGUUGCUUUAUUCGACCACAGCAGAGUUCAAUAUUAUAGAAUGUGUGUGUCAGUAUCCUUACAAAUAUGAAAAUCUGCAUACUGGAUGACACCGAUUAAUGUAAGAUUAAAGUCAUCUCCCCUUUAACACUUUAAGUGUUAGGGGUGGACCUCAUUUGACCCUUCACAAAAUCAAGGAAUGUCAACAGCUGGUGUCUGACGGAGAACGAUCACAUUACCAAGUGUGUGGUACCCAUUCAGUAAAAGAAGAGAACGUGUUUAACCUUAAAUUCCCUUCUGUAGCCCAUCAAAAAGGGUGCUUGGAACCAAAAAUGUAUUUUUUUGUAUAAUACCCAUUAAGGACGAGACUGGAGAGGCCACCUCCAAGGCGAUGAUGGACAUCUUCAACACCCACGGUUCUCCUGAGGUCCUCUUGAGUGACUAAGGUCAUGAGCGCUUGAACAUGUCCCCUCCUCCAGGUUUGGUGAAUGGACCAACCAGACCCUCAAGACCGCCAUGGGCAAGUCCCUUGACGGGUACCAGGAAUGGGGGGAGAACAACCUGAAGAUCACUGAAACCCCACCUGAUGUGGUGGUAGUUGGCGACCAGAUCAGAACGCUGUCAGCGUGGUGUGUAUAGGUGGCAGGGAAGUCAGGCGCAGGAGAGUCAAAAUGGAGUGUAAAUGGAGUCUUUUAAUAAAU